UACGUAGGGUGCAAGCGUUAAUCGGAAUUACUGGGCGUAAAGCGUGCGCAGGCGGUGAUGUAAGACAGAUGUGAAAUCCCCGGGCUCAACCUGGGAACUGCAUUUGUGACUGCAUCGCUGGAGUGCGGCAGAGGGGGGAUGGAAUUCCGCGUGUAGCAGUGAAAUGCGUAGAUAUGCGGAGGAAUACCGAUGGCGAAGGCAGGUCUCUGGGCUGACACUGACGCUCAUGCACGAAAGCGUGGGGAGCAAACAGG
rnacentral:rRNA from 1 species